rnacentral:rRNA from 1 species
CGUGCAGGCGGCUUGGCAAGUUGGAUGUGAAAUCUCCCGGCUCAACUGGGAGGGGUCGUUCAAAACUACCGAGCUAGAGGAUGGUAGAGGAAGGUGGAAUUCCCGGUGUAGUGGUGAAAUGCGUAGAUAUCGGGAGGAACACCAGUGGCGAAAGCGGCCUUCUGGACCAUUCCUGACGCUCAGACGCGAAAGCUAGGGGAGCGAACG